rnacentral:rRNA from 1 species
AAAAUAAAUAGUUUUUUAAUUGAAAACUUGAAUGAAAGAGUUGAUAAAAUAUAAAUUGUUUCAAAUUAAUUAGAUUUAACUUAAAUUGAAAGUUAAAAUGCUUUCUAUGUUUUUAUUAGACGAUAAGACCCUAAGAAUUUGAUUUUUUAAUUUUUAAUAUAUAAUUUUUAUGAAAAAUUUAUUAUAAAUUGAAUAAUUUUAUUGGGAGGAUAAUGAAAUUUUAAAAACUUUUGUUUAYUUUAAAUAUAUUUAAAUAAAAUUUUAAUGAUUAUUUUUAAUAUUAUUAGAAUAAAUUACCUUAGGGAUAACAGCGUUAUAAUUUUGGAUAGUUCAUAUUGAUAAAAUUGUUUGC